rnacentral:rRNA from 1 species
GAUGAACGCUGGCGGCGUGCCUAAUACAUGCAAGUCGAGCGAACGGACGAGAAGCUUGCUUCUCUGAUGUUAGCGGCGGACGUGUGAGUAACACGUGGAUAACCUACCUAUAAGACUGGGAUAACUUCGGGAAACCGGCGCUAAUACCGGAUAAUAUUUUGAACCGCAUGGUUCAAAAGUGAAAGACGGUCUUGCUGUCACUUAUAGAUGGAUCCGCGCUGCAUUAGCUAGUUGGUAAGGUAACGGCUUACCAAGGCAACGAUGCAUAGCCGACCUGAGAGGGUGAUCGGCCACCCUGGAACUGAGACACGGUCCAGACUCCUAAGGGAGGCAGCAGUAGGGAAUCUUCCGCAAUGGGCGAAAGCCUGACGGAGCAACGCCGCGUGAGUGAUGAAGGUCUUCGGAUCGUAAAACUCUGUUAUUAGGGAAGAACAUAUGUGUAAGUAACUGUGCACAUCUUGACGGUACCUAAUCAGAAAGCCACGGCUAACUACGUG